rnacentral:rRNA from 1 species
GACGAACGCUGGCGGCGUGCUUAACACAUGCAAGUCGAACGGAAAGGCCCUGCUUUUGUGGGGUUCUCGAGUGGCGAACGGGUGAGUAACACGUGAGUAACCUGCCCUUGACUUUGGGAUAACUUCAGGAAACUGCGGCUAAUACCGGAUAGGAUCUCCUGAUGCGUGGUGUGGGAUGGAAAGUUUCGGCGGUUGGGGAUGGACUCGCGGCUUAUCAGCUUGUUGGUGAGGUAGUUGCGUACCCAGGCUUUGACGGGAAGCCUGCCUGAGAGGGUGACAGGCCACAGUGGGACUGAGAUACGGGCAAGACUCCUACGGGAGGCAGCAGUGGGGACUAUUGCACGAUGGGCGGAAGCCUGAUGCAGCAACGCCGCGUGCGGGAUGACGGUCUUCGGGUUGUAAACCGUUUUCGCCUGUGACGAAGCGUGAGUGACGGAAAUGGGUAAAGAAGCACCGGCUAACUACGUG